GUUCUAUUCCUUGUAUUCUUUUCUGGUGAAGAAACAGGUGGAGCUUCAUCUACGUGAAACAGAAAUGGACAAGCCAGUAUCAACACUUCCAUCUACCCCAUCCCUUCACAUCUGCCGCCUUCUUGUCUGUGCAGUUCAUCACGUGACCUCGAGGCCAUCCAUUUAGAAGCCUGGGUGCUUUCCUGUGAGGCUUGAGGCCCCUUGGGCAGAGUGUUCUACAUCAUCUAUCUUCAGGUACCUAGAAGGAUACCUCGGAUACAGCAAAUGUGCAGUGAGCACCUGUUGAACGGUGGAGUAAAUGAAUAAUUAAAGGAACAGAGCCUAAAUUGUA